CUUUUCUCUGCAUGAGCAUCUUACCAAGCACCAUGACAGAUUUUCGUAUAAUUAAGGUAUAAACAAUUCUUACAGUCAGUAUGAAAACUUUGAUACAGAGAAAACAAAGAUAGAAGUGUCUGCUCUUAAGAAACAAAACAGUCUUCUAGGAAACCCAAUUAGACUGCUUUUCAUGGAUCAGUCUUCCUACACCGUGCUUUGUUUAUUGAAUCCAUGGAAAACUAAGCAGGUUGCACAGGAUCACAUCCAGGCAUGUUUUGAAUAUAUCCAGAGAAAAGGACUCCACAAGCUCUCU